CCGAGUUCGGGCCUCACGGCCCGCCCUCCAACCCUUUGUGAACACAACUUGUUGCUUCGGGGGCGACCCUGCCGUUCACGCGGCGAGCGCCCCCGGAGGCCUUCAAACACUGCAUCUUUGCGUCGGAGUUUAAGUAAAUUAAACA
rnacentral:misc_RNA from 1 species